rnacentral:rRNA from 1 species
UACGUAGGGUGCGAGCGUUGUCCGGAAUUAUUGGGCGUAAAGAGCUCGUAGGCGGUGUGUCACGUCGGCCGUGAAAACCUGCAGCUUACCUGUGGGCGUGCGGUCGAUACGGGCAUCACUGGAGUUCGGCAGGGGAGACUGGAAUUCCUGGUGUAGCGGUGAAAUGCGCAGAUAUCAGGAGGAACACCGGUGGCGAAGGCGGAUCUCUGGGCCUUACCUGACGCUCAGGUGCGAAAGCUAGGGGAGCGAACAGG